CCUACGGGAGGCAGCAGUGAGGAAUCUUCCGCAAUGGGCGAAAGCCUGACGGAGCGACACCGCGUGUGGGAUGAAGUCUCUAGGGAUGUAAACCUCUGUUGGGAGGGACGAAGGUCUGACGGUACCUCCUGAGGAAGCCCCGGCUAACUACGUGCCAGCAGCCGCGGUAAU
rnacentral:rRNA from 1 species